rnacentral:antisense_RNA from 1 species
UUAAACGGCGGGCCAUGGUGGGGAGGCCUAUGGCCUGCCGGUUGUCUUUUCCCGGUUUUGCAAUCCCUGUCAUGCGCCUGCCUUCCCG